AUUGAACGCUAGCGGGAUGCUUUACACAUGCAAGUCGAACGAGUGGCGGACGGGUGAGUAAUAUAUCGGAACGUGCCCAGUAGCGGGGGAUAAAUACUCGAAAGAGUGGCUAAUACCGCAUACUCUUGGAGCGGCCGAUAUCGGAUUAGCUAGUUGGUGGGGGAACGGCUCACAAAGGCCACGAGCCGUAGCGGGUUUGAGAGGACGACCAGCCACAUGGGGACUGAGACACGGCCCAGACUCCUACGGGAGGCAGCAGUGGGGAAUUUUGGACAAUGGGCGAAACCCUGAUCCAGCCAUCCCGCGUGUAUGAGAAGGCCUUCGGGUUGUAAAGUACUUUUGUCAGAGAAGCGGUAUCUGCAGAAUAAGCACCGGCUAACUACGUGCCAGCCGCCGCGGUAAUAC
rnacentral:rRNA from 1 species